GUCCACGCCCUAAACGAUGUUCACUCGACAUUGGCGAUAUACCGAUCAGUGUCUAAGCGAAAGCGUUAAGUGAACCACCUGGGGGAGUACGUCCGCAAGGAUGAAACUCAAAGUAAUUGACGGGGUCCGCACAAGCGGUGGAGCAUGUGGUUUAAUUCGAUGGUACGCGAGGAACCUUACCUGGGCUAGAAUGCAGGGGGAAUGAUGUUGAAAGGCGUCAGUCCGUCAAAAGACCGCCUGCAAGGUGCUGCAUGGCUGUCGU
rnacentral:rRNA from 1 species